rnacentral:rRNA from 1 species
UACGUAGGGGGCAAGCGUUGUCCGGAAUCAUUGGGCGUAAAGCGCGUGUAGGCGGCUAGACAAGUCCGCUGUGAAAACUCGAGGCUCAACUUCGAGCUGUCGGUGGAAACUUUCUGGCUAGAGUCCGGAAGAGGAGAAUGGAAUUCCUGGUGUAGCGGUGAAAUGCGCAGAUAUCAGGAGGAACACCGAUGGCGAAGGCGGCUUUCUGGACUGUAACUGACGCUGAGGCACGAAAGCGUGGGGAGCAAACAGG